AGUGAACGCUGGCGGUAGGCCUAACACAUGCAAGUCGAACGGCAGCACAGUAAGAGCUUGCUCUUACGGGUGGCGAGUGGCGGACGGGUGAGGAAUACAUCGGAAUCUACUUUUUCGUGGGGGAUAACGUAGGGAAACUUACGCUAAUACCGCAUACGACCUACGGGUGAAAGCAGGGGAUCUUCGUACCUUGCGCGAUUGAAUGAGCCGAUGUCGGAUUAGCUAGUUGGCGGGGUAAAGGCCCACCAAGGCGACGAUCCGUAGCUGGUCUGAGAGGAUGAUCAGCCACACUGGAACUGAGACACGGUCCAGACUCCUAAGGGAGGCAGCAGUGGGGAAUAUUAGACAAUGGGCGCAAGCCUGAUCCAGCCAUACCGCGUGGGUGAAGAAGGACUUCGGGUUGUAAAGCCCUUUUGUUGGGAAAGAAAAGCAGCAGGUUAAUACCCCGCUGUUCUGACGGUACCCAAAGAAUAAGCACCGGCUAACUUCGUG
rnacentral:rRNA from 1 species